ACAGAGGGGGCAAGCGUUAUUCGGAAUUAUUGGGCGUAAAGGGCGCGUAGGCGGCCAACUAAGUCAGACGUGAAAUCCCUCGGCUUAACCGGGGAACUGCGUCUGAUACUGGAUGGCUUGAGAUUGGGAGAGGGAUGCGGAAUUCCAGGUGUAGCGGUGAGAUGCGUAGAUAUCUGGAGGAACACCGGUGGCGAAGGCGGGUCUCUGGGCAAUUCCUGACGCUGAGGCGCGAGAGCGUGGGGAGCAAACAGGA
rnacentral:rRNA from 1 species